rnacentral:rRNA from 1 species
UACGGAGGAUCCAAGCGUUAUCCGGAUUUAUUGGGUUUAAAGGGUGCGUAGGCGGCCUAUUAAGUCAGGGGUGAAAGACGGUAGCUUAACUAUCGCAGUGCCUUUGAUACUGAUGGGCUUGAAUGUACUUGAGGUAGGCGGAAUGUGACAAGUAGCGGUGAAAUGCAUAGAUAUGUCACAGAACACCAAUUGCGAAGGCAGCUUACUAAAGUAUGAUUGACGCUGAGGCACGAAAGCGUGGGGGAUCAAACAGG